ensembl:lncRNA
CCUAUUUUAAAAGGCUUUUCUUGUGAAGUAAGAGAAAUAUGGCUGGUAACCACAUCACAGGGGGUAAUUGCAGUUUGGCAGGUGUGUCAUAAUGAGCAGAGAUAGAGCUCCCAACAGGAUGCAAAUGAAUUUUGGCCCCGGGCUCUUCCAGCGCGAUGCAUUCAAGUCAAUUAAGACUCUGCCACUUUCUACAACAGGGGUCAGAUUCCCUACAGAUCAUCCCAAUAUGACAUGAAAGAUCUAAGAGAGCAGCUCGGCGUGUCAAAACUUGACGCGAGCCGGGGUGGCGAUGAAAAGGAAGAGUUGGAUGAACUUUGAUAGACAUCAGAAAUCUGGGAAACAAAAACAAGGUCUAAUUCUGCCAAGAAAGAGGAAGGAUAAAAAAGGAAGGCCGUUUCUUUUGGAGAUUAUGCAAGCGUGUUUGGAUGGGAAGGAGUUCAGAUAAUAAUGAAACAAUUAAAGGCUUUAAGGUUGACCUGAGCUGUAAAACUUUUUUUCCACUCCACCUUUGCAUAAAUCAAAUGAAGAAUGCUGAAGUUAAGGAUCUGAAAUCUAUCUCAUUCUCUUUAUAGGGCUUGACUGGACUGAUUACGCGGUCACCACACCCCGAACCCUUUCCUUCACAUGAUGCCUCGGGCUACAACGCCACACCCCACGAAAGUGCUCCCCCUCCUGAGUGGGACGGUCUCUGUGCAGGUGGGACAGGUUGACAAUCAACACCUGCUUACCCCCACUGAAAGGCUUGGAGGGGCCAGGACAAUUUUUAAUAUAACUCUGAUUGGAUUCGUCUGAAAGAAGAAAGUCAUAUACACUUAGGAUGCUUUGAGGCGGAACCACAGGACCCAAAUUAUAAUUAUGCUCUUUGAGCACAUCCAGACCUUACCGUAGUAAAAGCCUUUCUCACAGGGGCCUGCGAGAUCCGGAUCUGUCCUGCAAUGAAGAACUGUAUGUGUGUUGGAACAUACUGACUCAAUGAAUCACCAGUCAGCUUUAUUUACAAGAAACUGUCAUGCUUUUGAAAAUGAAACAAUAACUUUAGAUACCAGCUUAUUAUAUCCUUUCAUGCUGCGUAACAAUUUUCCAGCUUUCCAUAGUUGAACGAACUUGUGUUCAUUCUUUAAACAACGUAAACAUUCAUCUAAAGCCACAGAGCACAUUUUAUUAUCACAUGUGACAAUGUUGCAUGUAAAUACAUUUGUGUCACCCUGGAGCAUAAAAGCAGUCUUUAGUCGCAGGGGUAUAUUUGCA